rnacentral:rRNA from 1 species
GAUGAACGCUGGCGGCGUGCCUAAUACAUGCAAGUCGAGCGAACAGAUGAGGAGCUUGCUCCUCUGACGUUAGCGGCGGACGGGUGAGUAACACGUGGAUAACCUACCUAUAAGACUGGGAUAACUUCGGGAAACCGGAGCUAAUACCGGAUAAUAUAUUGAACCGCAUUGUUCAAUAGUGAAAGACGGUUUUGCUGUCACUUAUAUAUGGAUCCGCGCCGCAUUAGCUAGUUGGUAAGGUAACGGCUUACCAAGGCAACGAUGCGUAGCCGACCUGAGAGGGUGAGCGGCCACACUGGACCUGAGACACGGUCCAGACUACUACGGGAGGCAGCAGUAGGGAAUCUUCCGCAAUGGGAGAAAGCCUGACGGAGCAACGCCGCGUGAGUGAUGAAGGUCUUCGGAUCGUAAAACUCUGUUAUUAGGGAAGAACAAAUGUGUAAGUAACUAUGCACGUCUUGACGGUACCUAAUCAGAAAGCCACGGCUAACUACGUG